AAGGGAACUCCUGGUAACCAGACAAGGCUGAGAAGCUGCUCGUGACAGUUGGCGUAGUCGGCAGGAUACGGAAGAAGAGCUCCGGAGCAGAGACCAUGAAGCGAAAGGCACUAAGAAAAUUAAAUCCAAGAAGGAGAAGGACGGCAAGAUCGAGGAAUUAUUCUGAACAGUUGCACUAUGCAAAUUGUCAUCUUUGCAUCGAAUUUCAUAAUUUCUUGAGGAACUAUGUCUGUGGACCAGAUAAUCAUCAGACGGAUAUUAGGACGCAAAUUGAGGAACGACCUGUUGUUCCGGAAGGAUCGCAUGACUCCAAUUCCGAUGUUCUUGGAAAAAGAUGUUGACUAUCCA